rnacentral:tRNA from 1 species
UCCUGUGUGGCUCAGUUGGUAGAGUAUGGUGUUUGCAACGCCAGGGUUGUGGGUUCGAUUCACACAGGGGAC